GGGUCUGGGGAAGGCGGGAGAGGGAAAAGAACAACAGCUAACUCUACGUCCUCCUCCACAG
ensembl:miRNA Mir7118 microRNA 7118